rnacentral:rRNA from 1 species
CAGUCGCGUUGGCUGGAAAUCAACCUUACUUCUGUUGGGUGUACUUUCUAGUCGAUGGGUCAGCAUCAAUUUUAAUCAUUGGAUAAAGUCUUUGGGAAUGUGGCUUCUUCGGAAGUGUUAUAGCCUUUGGUCGCGUACAAUGGUUGGGAUUGAGGAACUCAGCACGCCGCAAGGCCGGGUUUUUAACCACGUUCGUGCUUAGGAUGCUGGCAUAAUGGCUUUAAACGCCCGUCUUGAAACACGGACCAAGGAGUCU